UACAGAGGUCCCGAGCGUUGUUCGGAUUCACUGGGCGUAAAGGGUGCGUAGGUGGCCUAAAAAGUUUGAUGUGAAAGCUAAGGGCUUAACCCUGAAAUGGCAUUGAAUACUGUUGGGCUGGAGGUUUGGAGGGGGGACUGGAAUUCUUGGUGUAGCAGUGAAAUGCGUAGAUAUCAAGAGGAACACCAGUGGCGAAGGCGAGUCCCUGGACAACACCUGACACUGAGGCACGAAAGCCGGGGGAGCAAACAGG
rnacentral:rRNA from 1 species